UUCUCGCUUAGAAGUGACCCUGAAGAUGAGGAGGCAGAGAAAAUCAAGAAGAAGAUGGAGAUGACCCGUGAUCAAUUAGCAGAGGCACUGUACCAAAAAGGAUUGGCUCUGGCAGAUAUUGAAUCCCUAGAGGUAG